GUUGAACGCUGGCGGCGUGCUUAAUACAUGCAAGUCGAGCGAACAGACGAGGACAUUGCUCCUCUGACGUUACCGGCGGACGGGUGAGUAACACGUGGAUAACCUACCUAUAAGACUGGGAUAACUACGGGUACCCGGAUCUCAUAUCGGAUCAUAUAUUGAACCGCAUGGUCCUUUAGUGAACGCCGGUUUUGCUGUCCCUUUUUGAUGUUUCCGCGCCGCAUUAGCUAGUUGGUAAGGUAACGGCUUACCAAGGCUACGAUGCGUAGCCGACCUGAGAGGGUGAUCGGCCACACUGGAACUGAGACACGGUCCAGACUCCUACGGGAGGCAGCAGUAGGGAAUCUUCCGCAAUGGGCGAAAGCCUGACGGAGCAACGCCGCGUGAGGGAUGAAGGUCUUCGGAUCGUAAAACUCUGUUAUUAGGGAAGAACAAAUGUGGGAUAAACUAUGCACGUCUUGACGGUACCGAAUCAGAAAGCCACGGCUAACUACGUG
rnacentral:rRNA from 1 species